rnacentral:rRNA from 1 species
UACGUAGGGUCCGAGCGUUGUCCGGAAUUACUGGGCGUAAAGAGCUCGUAGGUGGUUUGUCGCGUUGUUCGUGAAAACUCACAGCUCAACUGUGGGCGUGCGGGCGAUACGGGCAGACUUGAGUACUGCAGGGGAGACUGGAAUUCCUGGUGUAGCGGUGGAAUGCGCAGAUAUCAGGAGGAACACCGGUGGCGAAGGCGGGUCUCUGGGCCAUUACUGACGCUGAGGAGCGAAAGCGUGGGGAGCGAACAGG